rnacentral:rRNA from 1 species
AGUGAACGCUGGCGGCAUGCCUAACACAUGCAAGUCGAACGGCAACACGGUUAGAGCUUGCGUCUACGGGUGGCGGGUGGCGGAAUAGUGCGGAAUGUAUCCGAUCCUAGUUUUUCACGGGGCAUAACGUUGGCCAACAUCCGAUACUACCUAAUACGUCCAACGGGUGAGCGCAAGGGCUCUUCCGACCUUGGCCGCUUGUUUGAGAUGAUGUCGGAUUAGGUAGUUGGGGGGGUAAAGGCCCACCAAGGCGACGAUCCGUAGCUGGUCUGAGAGGAUGAUCAGCCACACUGGAACUGAGACACGGCCCAGACUCCUACGGGAGGCAGCAGUGGGGAAUUUUGGACAAUGGGCGCAAGCCUGAUCCAGCCAUGCCGCGUGGGUGAAGAAGGCCUUCGGGUUGUAAAACCCUUUUGUUGGGAAAGAAAAGCAGCAUGUUAAUACCCCGCGGUUCUGACGGUACCGAAAGAAUAAGCACCGGCUAACUACGUG